rnacentral:rRNA from 1 species
UAGGGAAUCUUCCGCAAUGGGCGAAAGCCUGCCGGAGCAACGCCGCGUGAGUGAUGAAGGUCUUCGGAUCGUAAAACUCUGUUAUUAGGGAAGAACAAAUGUGUAAGUAACUAUGCACGUCUUGACGGUACCUAAUCAGAAAGCCACGGCUAACUACGUGCCAGCAGCCGCGGUAAUACGUAGGUGGCAAGCGUUAUCCGGAAUUAUUGGGCGUAAAGCGCGCGUAGGCGGUUUUUUAAGUCUGAUGUGAAAGCCCACGGCUCAACCGUGGAGGGUCAUUGGAAACUUGAAAACUUGCGUGCAGAAGGGGAAAGUGGAAUUCCAUGUGUAGCGAUGAAAUGCGCAGAGAUAUGGAGGACCACCAGUGGCGAAGGCGACUUUCUGGUAUGUAACUGACGCUGAUGUGCGAAAGCGUGGGGAUCAAACAGG